AGCCUACGGGGGGCAGCAGUGAGGAAUAUUGGUCAAUGGGCGGGAGCCUGAACCAGCCAAGUCGCGUGAGGGAAGACGGUCCUAUGGAUUGUAAACCUCUUUAGGCGGGGAGCAAUGCCGGGCACGCGUGCCCGGAGGGAGAGUACCCGCAGAAUAAGCAUCGGCUAACUCCGUGCCAGCAGGCGCGGUAAUACGGAGGAUGCGUUCGUUAUACGGGUUUAUUGGGUUUAAAGGGUGCGUAGGCGGAUUUUUAAGUCAGCGGUAAAAUGUCCGGGUUCAACCCGGGUCGGCCGUUGA
rnacentral:rRNA from 1 species